ensembl:lncRNA
GUUGAAGCUUUUCAGUUCUACUCUCAUGCUCCCUGGAAUAGCUUUAAUAGGAGAGACCAACACUUUUUGUACUUUAUUUGCUCCCUUGGGUCUCACCAUGACAAGCAUGCUCUCUGGCUGCCAGCAAGCUGAUGGUGCCUGAAAGCAACCCCUUAUCCUUUCAGAGCUCUUCCUUUCAUGAUAAUAUCAGAAACAGUUGUCACAUUAGCAUCUGCAAUGUUUGAUAGGCUGUGCUAUUUUGCUCCCAACUUGCCAAAUGCAUGAGGGACAGGCAUCUUAUCACAGCUGUGCAUGAACUGAAAUCAGCUUCUUUUGGCAGGGUAUGUGAUUUCAUGAGUCACGUAAAGGUUAUGCAUGGAAACACCACUGGUGAGAUCUCAGAAGUACUGAUUUUUCUCAACAUGAGUGUCACAUCUUACCAACAGCACCUACAGGCCCAACACAAGUACCUUACACAAGAAAUUACUGAUCUGUGCUGUUUAGCAAAGACAUGUAUUACUGACGGACUUGGACCUUUGUGAUGGACAUACCAGAAUGCAUAUUGUGUGGGCACAUAAUUACCACAGUCCUAGAAGAGACUGAAAAUGCUAUUGUCAGAAAAGUACUUUGUGUAGUGUACAUCUGCAUUUUCUGUCUUCUGUGGGAGAUUCUGCCAACAGAAGGAAGUUUUCUCCUUCAGUUUUAUGAAAUGUGCUUCUAGAGUAAAAAGUCUUGGAAAUACUAGACUUGAGCAGCUCUGCACUUGGACUGUAUCUGCCUAUGGAGAGUCUGCAAAUAUUUCACUGUUUGCCAACAGUUUCCAUUCUUUGUCAGAUUUUGGUAAGAAUAGAGCCCCUUCUCACAGCUAUUGCUGCCUUCUGAAGGCUAGGUUAUACUGCAGGUGUUGCAGCACCUUCUCAUCAUAGGUGCUGCAACAAGAAUGCAGUGGUAAGGAAGAAGAGCCCAAUCAUAAAGGAGGCCGUAACUUGAUACAAGAUGGAAAGGUUAGGAACAAAGACUGUAUGUGACUGAAUGUCCAGCCAAAGAUGUUGAUGGGUGCAGGACACUCAUGCAUGGAGGCCUGGAAGAACACACAACUGUUUCACGAAGUUCUGUCAAUUACCUUCUUAAGAUUCAGGCAGUAAGAUGCCACUGCAGGGGUGUACUAUCCUAAACUCUAACAAGAACUACAGCUUGGGCAUCUGUACCUCCAACAGCAUGAACUUGAGAUGACUUUGUAGAGUGGAUGCUGAAGAUGACGCAGACCUCAGUGGACCAGACUGUUAAUCUGGACUGGGGUGCACUCAUUGGAGGAUACUAAGCCACAGGGACUGAACUAUCAUCCACAUAAAAAAUUCCUGUUAAGGAACUACAGCAUUCGAUAGGUUAAUCAAACAAACAAACAAACAAAAAAAUAAAAUAACCAGUGCAAUAAGAUGUUAAGCAAUGUUGUCAUUACUAUAAUACCUGCUGAGAGGACAUAAAAAUAAUUUAAUUUAAUCCUUAGGGUUUUCAGGGAGUAGUGUAAAUACAUAUGGAUCUUCAGAUGUGUAUAAUGAAUGACAAGGCAUUAAAAGCACUCUGAUCCAAUUUUGUCUAAUUUCAAAAAUCACAGUCAUGUUUUGUUUUUUCUUCACAGUAUUUAGUUAUCAGAGCCAACACACAUGAAAACUCUGUGAAAUCCUCAGGAUGAAAACUUCUUUAUAUCUCAUCCUAGAGAGUAUUUUAGAUGUUUUGGUUUUAGAAUAAGGAAUGGUGACUGCUUAUGCAGCUUGUAAUGCUACAGAUUUAUUGGCAAAGGUUUCAAUUUACCUGAUUGAAAAGAUCUGUAUUUUUAUAGAAAUGUUUCAAAGUUGAAAUGAUAAGUAUAAUUUUCAGUGAAACAGCCCCAAAAUUUGUUAUUCUAAAUUCUUAAAUUAUAAUUAUUUAUGUACUGUGUGUUAUCAGUACCAAACCAUCAUUAAUAUGAAUAAUGCAAUUUUGUACUCCAACAGUAGUGUUAAAAAUACUCUGGGACUCCCAUUUACCAAACUUCAUGACAGAGUUUUCUAGUUUAUGUGAGCAGGAUUGUGUUCUUUCUUUGUGUGUGUGUGUAUCUAAGGAAAAACAUUUGCUAGCAUUAGUUCAAGAUUUAACCAUACAUUUUUUUUGGUAGCAACUUUAGCAUUUCCUAAUCAGAUGCUUCUCAUCUGAAAACAGAAAACAUUCUGGUUUGCUUUCAUUUUGUUAGUUACGGUCAUUCAGAAACAUUUGGUGGGGAAAGAAACCUAUGUGAAUUGAAGCUCCAACAUCUGGCUGUCUUAAGCAAAAGUUAAACUGAAGGUGUAAAUCUGUAUUUUGUUGUUUUGUAAUCUUUUUGGUAUGAGAUCAGUGAAGGGAGUCUAUUAAGUGACAUUUAUCACUGUUUUCUAUUACAGCUUGCCUGGAAACUUCAGGAAAGUAUUAUCAGCAAAUGCUUAUACAUAUACUGAAUAAAUGGGUUCAUGCUUUAUAUUAUAGUAUUACUUUGGCUUUCAUACAUUUCCAAUAUCUUAAUCAAAGAUAUGCCUUGGAAUUAUAUUAAACAUAUCUUACACAUGUACAAUCUAUGCUUUACAUUCCAUCUUUCCUGGGCUUAAAAUACUGUAAAUUGCUCAGGUCUGGAUCCUCUUCAACUUCCUUACUGCAGUGGGAAUUUUUCUAUUAAAU